rnacentral:rRNA from 1 species
UGCAAGUCGAACGGAAGUCGUUACGAAAUGGAAUGAAGAUUUAUCUGAUUGAAGUUUUGUAACAAUGGCUUUAGUGGCGGACUGGUGAGUAACACGUAAGCAAUCUACCUAUUAGAGGGGAAUAACAAUGAGAAAUCAUUGCUAAUACCGCAUAAGCUUGUAGUACCGCAUGGUACAGCAAGAAAAGGAGCAAUCCGCUAAUAGAUGAGCUUGCGGCUGAUUAGCUAGUUGGUGUGGUAACGGCAUACCAAGGCAACGAUCAGUAGCCGGGCUGAGAGGCUCUUCGGCCACAUUGGGACUGAGAUACGGCCCAGACUCCUACGGGAGGCAGCAGUCGGGAAUUUUGCGCAAUGGAGGAAACUCUGACGCAGUGACGCCGCGUAUAGGAAGAAGGUUUUCGGAUUGUAAACUAUUUUAGUCAGGGAAGAAAAAUGACAGUACCUGAAGAAUAAGCUCCGGCUAACUACGUGCCAGCAGCCGCGGUAAUACGUAGGGAGCAAGCGUUAUCCGGAUUUAUUGGGUGUAAAGGGUGCGUAGACGGGAAGACAAGUUGGUUGUGAAAGCCCUCGGCUCAACUGAGGAACUGCAACCAAAACUAUCAUUCUUGAGUGCGGGAGAGGAAAGUGGAAUUCCUAGUGUAGCGGUGAAAUGCGUAGAUAUUAGGAGGAACACCAGUGGCGAAGGCGACUUUCUGGACCGUAACUGACGUUGAGGCACGAAAGUGUGGGGAGCAAACAGGAUUAGAUACCCUGGUAGUCCACACCGUAAACGAUGGAUACUAGGUGUAGGGAACGAUAUGUUUUCUGUGCCGAAAGCAAACGCAAUAAGUAUCCCACCUGGGG